ACUAAAACAAACCAACCAGGUUACCAGCCACAUGUAACAACUAAUACAUCAGAACUCUUCAUGUGAUGUCCUCAGGGAAAAGACGGUGAAGACCGGAGCACAGCGCCAUGCAGCUUCUGGGAUUGAUUGUGAUAUUAAUGGGAGACACAUUAGUCCAGUGCUCUGCUUAACCAGUGUGAAAAACAGAGAGUGACUCUGAUAACAAGGUCAGUGUGGCAAAGCUGAUGCAUAUUCUUCUUCCUCCCUCUUGGAGAUAUGAACCAAGCGAAAGGAAACAGAGGGAAGAGAGAAGAGAAGAGAAGAAGAAACAGACAAUUGUGAAUACAGAGCAAGGUUUUAACAAAGACUUGGCGGCUCAAGCUGAUGACGGCUCUAUUUCCCUGGACUUGAUUCAGCUGUUUCUCCAUCUGGCAAUGGAGUACCUGGGAGCUCCAGUGCGCUCGCCUUGAGGAAAGAGAACAACUCGUUAUUCAAACAGUUAAACAGGUUUCUCCAAUUACCAAGGCAGUAACCCCCAACUGCUUUCCCAACCACCACCAGCAGGCAGAGCAGGAGGGUGUGAGAGGAAAUGGAAUCAUUCCGAGAACAGUAAUCAGCUUUAACAGAGGUGACAGUAUGACGGUGCUGACGGGAGCGGGGGACCUGGACUCAGGAUUUGGAUUAACCAACGACACCUUUUCACUCUGUCAAGGUUAAUAUUGUUUAGGGGGAAAACACCCUAUAAACAUUACCUCGACUUCAGCACUUGGAAAUGUUGGCCCCUGAAGAUGUGUUUUUGAGCUGAAUGAGGGAGAUUAAUCUGUAAA